rnacentral:rRNA from 1 species
UUUUUGGAGAGUUUGAUCCUGGCUCAGGACGAACGCUGGCGGCGUGCCUAAUACAUGCAAGUCGAGCGGAUCUUGCCCUUCGGGGCAAGGUUAGCGGCGGACGGGUGAGUAACACGUAGGCAACCUGCCCAUAAGACCGGGAUAACUGGCGGAAACGCCUGCUAAUACCGGAUAAUCGAUUCGCUCGCCUGAGCGAAUCGUGAAAGAUGCUUCGGCAUCACUUGUGGAUGGGCCUGCGGCGCAUUAGCUAGUUGGCGGGGUAACGGCCCACCAAGGCGACGAUGCGUAGCCGACCUGAGAGGGUGAUCGGCCACA